UUUGGCUCAGUGGCUAAAGUGUCGGCCUGUGGACUGAAGAGUCCCAGGUUCGAUUCCAGUCAAGGGCAUCUAGCUCAGUUGCAGGUUCCCCUGCCCUGGUCAGGGUGCGUGAAGGAGGCAACCAAUCAGUGUUUAUCUCUCACAUUGAUGUUUCUCUCUCUCUCUCUCUCUCUCUCUCUCUCUCUCUCUCUCUCUCUCC